rnacentral:rRNA from 1 species
UCGAGAAUACUUCACAAUGGGGGCAACCCUGAUGGUGCAACGCCGCGUGGAGGAUGAAGGUCUUCGGAUUGUAAACUCCUGUCAUCCGGGAGUAAGACCUGGCUGUGAAUAGCAGACAGGGUUGAUAGUACCGGAAGAGGAAGGGACGGCUAACUUCGUGCCAGCAGCCGCGGUAAUACGAAGGUCCCGAGCGUUGUUCGGAAUCACUGGGCGUAAAGGGAGCGUAGGCGGCGUGGUAAGUCAGAUGUGAAAUCCCGGGGCUCAACCCCGGAACUGCAUCCGAUACUGCCGUGCUAGAGGAUUGGAGAGGUAGCUGGAAUUCUUGGUGUAGCAGUGAAAUGCGUGGAGAUCAAGAGGAACACUCGUGGCGAAAGCGAGCUACUGGACAAUAUCUGACGCUGAGGCUCGAAGGCCAGGGUAGCGAAAGG